rnacentral:rRNA from 1 species
AAUAUUGGACAAUGGGGGGAACCCUGAUCCAGCCAUGCCGCGUGUGUGAAGAAGGUCUUCGGAUUGUAAAGCACUUUAAGUUGGGAGGAAGAGUUGUAGGCUAAUACCUUGCAAUUUUGACGUUACCAACAGAAUAAGCACCGGCUAACUUCGUGCCAGCAGCCGCGGUAAUACGAAGGGUGCAAGCGUUAAUCGGAAUUACUGGGCGUAAAGCGCGAGUAGGUAGUUCGUUAAGUUGGAAGUGAAAGCCCCGGGCUUAACCUGGGAAUUGCUUUCAAAACUGACGAGCUAGAGUACGGUAGAGGGUAGUGGAAUUUCCUGUGUAGCGGUGAAAUGCGUAGAUAUAGGAAGGAACAUCAGUGGCGAAGGCGACUACCUGGACUGUAACUGACACUGAGGCAUGAAAGCGUGGGUAGCAAACAGG